CCAUCCAUGCAAAAAAUUUCGUAAAUAGAUUUCAUUUACUACUCCAUGUAUGUGUCAAAACAUUCGUUGUGACGUUUUUUUUUGCGUUUACGUGGUUUACAGGUAAAGAUCUAAACAGGGCCUUAAUACACUAAUAUUAGGAACCAAUAAAAUAACAAUCAUAUCCAUAUGUCUUUGUCUGUAGUGCCAGCCCACAUCCUUGAAAUGCAAUAUAUUCUUGCACAGGCGCACGGCCGCCGCACAGCGGCUGGAGAUGAGUGCCCCUCUGAUGCAAACCCUGCACGACGUCUGGGUUACCAAGGCACCUGCAUUUCCCAUGUAUGCAUGCCAACUUAUUUGGGGCCACUUCCGCUCCGGCAACAUUCAUUUCUCGGUGCCAUUCUCGCGCUACCUGCCAGAAAUUGGCCGUGUUGUGCUCUUCUAUGGUGCUGCAAAUGCAGGUAUAAAAGCAAUCAUGAAGAAAAGGAAGGACAGAGUGGCGUUCGUCACCCGUGGAUGGGCUGGAGUUUGCUGGGAAAUAUGGAUUCCAGGAGUGUGACGUGUACGUGCUGACGCUGCGCAUUGUCAAUGGGCGCUUCCAGCUGACAUCGCGCUGCAUUCAGCCCCUAGAUGUGCUAAGGCCUAAAUAUUAAUCUCUAGUAUUGAUCGGUGACUAGCUUAGUCCUUUGACCUCCUAAUGAGGAUCAUAGCAUUAUUAAAAUAUCCUUGAUGAAUUCACCAUCAUAGGAGAUAGGUGAAACCUCAUCUAGGAAAGGCAUCAGUGUUGAUUUAUUGUGUCGCUUCAUUACUACCUCCAGAAACUAGUUUGGCAUCAAUGGAUGUAAUGAACUAUAUCCUGGUCUUAUAUAUUUAACUAUUCCUUAGCAAGAAAA